AUACAGGGGGUGCGAGCGUUAAUCGGAAUUACUGGGCGUAAAGAGUACGUAGGCGGUUGCUUAAGUCAGAUGUGAAAGCCCCGGGCUCAACCUGGGAACUGCAUUUGAAACUGAGUGACUAGAGUUUAAGAGAGGGGAGUAGAAUUCCGGGUGUAGCGGUGAAAUGCGUAGAGAUCCGGAGGAAUACCAGUGGCGAAGGCGGCUCCCUGGCUUAAAACUGACGCUGAGGUACGAAGGCGUGGGUAGCAAACAGGAUUAGAAACCCGAGUAGUCC
rnacentral:rRNA from 1 species